rnacentral:lncRNA from 1 species
AAAAGAACUGUUAUAAAAGUUAAAAGCUGACCUUUUCUCGACGAAGAUAUCGGACCGAAGCACUCGGAGGCUCAACAUGCUCCAAUACCUCACAGUAUUGUUUCAGCUGAUCGUCCCCUCCAUCAUCCAGGACCAAAACUCGAAACUGGUGCUUGGGAUAAUCCAUAGCCAGGGCAGCCUGAAUGGAAUCCUCGGGAACGUCAGUGGGCUCUUUGCAGCAGGUAAGAAAUAUGUCAACCGUCGGAAGCUCUUCCCAAUUCAACGACAAACUCUGACGGGGCCUCCAUAUUCGAGGUGGUAACACCAGAUCUACAGCUGCAAUAACGCUGUUCAGAAAGUAUAUCACCUCGCAGAUCGUCAGAAUUAUCAGCCACGGCCUUCUCACAAGCUCGCCGGGAUGCUUGGAGUAGACAUAGAACCUGUAACCGAGGUAAUUCACAAAUGUAGCUAUGUGUGCUGAGACAAGGAGGCAAAUGAUUGUGUGCCAGAUUAGCUUUCCCCAUGGAGAUGCUUGAGGAGCGGCUGACAAAGAAGUGGAUGAUGAAGGAGAACUGGACGGAGAAGAAGAAGAAGAAGAAGACUCAUGGGGAGCAUUAGAGUCACUUUGGUCGCUAAGAUUAUCACUUGGCUGCUGCUGCAACUCAAGAUCCCGCACACUAGACAUGAUGCUGUGGGAGGAGGAAUCUGGAACUUCUUACAUAUUCAUGUUUGAUAGGGUUAUUAUUGACGUGCCAUGUCCGUCCAGCUGUCCAUGUGCAUUUUGGUUCAGCAGUCAUUUUGUAGAUCAUGGACUUUCAAUACCAAUCUAUCUUAGAAAACAUUGCGAAUCUUUUGAUUUCGACCAAGCACGCGACGUGAAUAGAUGAACAUGACUAACGAUCUGACUGAUGAAUCACGCCGGCGAACCUCGACAGGCCAGCUAAUUCUUUUACGUGACCAAAGGUGUACAAUGGUCUGUUUGAAUGUUAAAUCAGAUGUGUAUUCGGAAUGUAGUACUGAAAGAGAGCUGUAUAAACCUUGUUGUUGACAUACUUUCGAGAAGCGUCCAAUUCCACCGAGUAGAACCUCUCGGCCUCGCGGUUACUCCCAAAGUUGAUGCGCCGGGCGGACGACGACGCUGUCGUCAACCAUUGUACGAUCCUUCUGAAUUGCAUGGUAUCAUUCCUGGGGAAGUGAGGCAGUCUAUGAUAUUCGCUCUGUCAUUGCUCGAAUUGUGGACGGAAGCAAGUUUCACGAGUUCAAGAAGUUGUAAGCUUUUUAAAAUUUGUAGACACUUCAAUGCUCCUCCCAAAGAAAAUUGUCACGGCCACCUCGGGGUCAGUGUCGAGAUGUAGAUCCUCGUCAAUGUCGAAGCUAUAGUGAUCGAGCUUCUCACAACCUGUUUAGGUCGUGUAGCUGAACAAGUAAUCUCUAUCGCCUUCUGAUUACUAUAUAGCGGGAAGAACGAGUGCGUUACCAACUGAUCCUCUGUCACUGGCUCGUCCUUCUUGACAAACACCUUGAAGAAAACAUUUUGAUACCUCUUGAUCCCAAAGCAGAACUUGUAGUCUGGUGGAUCGACGUCCCAGUGAAAGAUAUGGCUUGUGGAGAUACCGUAAGACUUUCUGGAGAUUUUCGAGAGCACAACGCCUGUUCCAGUGCCGAGAGCCAUGGCACCUCGGCAGAUCGCAGCGGUGGGAUUAAAAGGACAAUGCACAGCUUCCACUGCUUCUUUGAAUCGCACCUUGAUCCUUUUCACCACGUACGGACUCUCGGAGAAGCCUCCAACCAGAUAUAUGUACUUGAUACCGUCAACUUUGUCAAAAUUCUCCUCGAUUAGCUGGAUGGUUUUGUUGAUUUCUGUGUCAAAGAUUGCGCACAUCUCCUCGCAGUCGAUCUCAAUCUCAUGGUAGCACUCAUCAUCUCUCUGGAGCAAAUCCCAGUUUCCUGUAUCAAACUCCCUGUCAUGCUCUUUCCAUGCCUUCGGCAGCUUUGGUGGAACUUUCAUGAAUUUGAACAAACAUGCACUUGCCCUUGGGUCCGAGCCACCAGCUCAAGAUCCUGUGGACCACAUCCGGCUCCUGCUGCUUGAAAGUGUUGAAGCAUCCAAUCUUCUUGGUGAGAAACUCCAGAAAGUUAGAGUCGAAAAAAGUACCACCUCCAAGUGCUCCGGAGCGAGCGCCCGGCCAGUCGAUGAAAAGAUGGACAUCCUCUGGAUCAGAGCGAUGCACAAAAGCAAAACUAGAGUAAGUCGUCCCGAAAUCCAGACCCACGACAACCUUUGGCAAUGGGGUGUCACAGAGUGCGAGCGAUCCCGAGACAAGAAAAAAAAAAAAAAAAAAAACUCCUUUAAAAGAACAACUCGUUUUGGUUAUCUUUCGCGUUUCUACUAUGGACGUGACUAGUUAAUGCGUGGCUGCGUCAAACCCCAGCGAGUAGAGCUUCUCGGGCUCAAGGUUGAUCCCAAAGUUGAUGCGCCGGGCAAACACCUUGAUGCAGCUCCACCUUGCGGCCCUUGCCCAGCUGCAAAUCCUCGCUGAUAUCAAAGUAGUAGCGGUAGACUGGUACUGCAUCGCUGCUGGAGCCAAGCAAGCUAAUGCCCAUGAUGGUAUUGUUCGUGUUUAGAGGAACGAAGGUGCGUGUGACGGCCUCACUCUCUGACACUGUAUCGUUCUUGGCACCACGAUUGGCCCUCUCAGCAUAGACUUGCAUGCUGCCCUUGGCCUGGUCGCUCCAAGUCGCCGGGACUGUAAGACACCAUUGCAUGUCCCCGUACUUCGGCAGAUGGUGGAUCAUAGAUGUGCAAAUGUUCCAACGUGUCAACGUUUAAAUGCCGUUUAAAACAUUUCAGGACAAUCCAACGUUUACAUAUUAAAGCCUAAAAUGAUUAAGAAAACACUAAUAUUUACUAAAGACACUUUAAUCUGAUAUUAAGUUUAUAAAACCUAAUCGAAUAACAUACUAAAACAAAUGAAAGAAGAAGCCAUUUUAGUCGUCAUAGGCAUUGCUUUGCAUGUUUUCACACCUCUUGCCCGAACUCCAAUGAGAUGUGCUUGCACUUGGUCCACUCCCCCAAUGUGAAUCUCAUGACAAUACUUACAUGUCCAAUGCCGCUUUGCUCAUAUCACAUGCUUCCAGCUCCAGCAUUUGCGGUGUCCUCCAAUUCCUGUCAUGACCACAAGAACCCUGAAGAAACCCUAAAGAAACCCUAAAGAAACCUUUGUCUCUUUUCGCAAAUAGUGCAAACGUUUAGAAUGGCAUUUUUGAACGCGUUUAAAACGUUACGUUUUUUAAGUUUCACAUGUUUUCCGGCAACUAUGUGGUGGAUGAUAAACACGGAAAUAGAUCUCAGGUAAUCCACGACCAGCCUCUCCUCCUUCUCACUUCCUUCUUCAGUGCAGCAGCUUGGAACCCAUCUCAAACACACCAACCUUUUGCUCGAUCUCCUCCUGUGCAGGUGGAGUGAGGUCUUCUUUGAGCCAAGCCACCUUCGAAGCCGCUACAAAGCACAAUCCACAAGCUUGAAAGAUCCUUGCUUCUCCCCUGGAACAUAGAAGAGGCUCGACUGGGUCUUGCCAGGCCAGUCAAUGAAGAGAACCAAAACCUGAGUAAGUUGUUCCAAAAUCUAGACUAAACUCGAUCCCUUGGAAGAUUUAUAUAAGCGCUAUACAAAAUCCUACCAGUUGUGACGCUGCGCGAGCUUCGCCUGUAGCUCGGCCUCAGGGAUGAGUCGCUUGCCAGCCUUCCAUCGUUCCCUCCACCAUUCCACAAGCUCUGCCUAGAGACCAAGCUUAUCGAUGGAUCCAUCCAUGGAACUUUCUCUUACCUCUGUGAAGGAGUGAUUCGAGACGUACUGACUGUCCACUGUGCACUCCAUGUCUCCAAGAUCCACAGAGACGGACAUGUUCUUGUCAUCACCACCUAGCUUCCGGAUGGCUCCUGUUUAUUUGGGGAGAACUUUACAAACUUCGGUGAAACGUUGCAAGAGCUUUAGUACCUCGUAUUCAUGCCAUCCUGUAGCCGGUUCCACCAAGUUCUUUCUCCCAUCUUCCAAACCUUAGCCGCAAGAAGAAGCCUCGCACAUUUGUGUUGAAGUCUGGAGAAUCCAUCCAUCUACACCCGAGAGAUCUAUGUUAGAAAGCAAGACAAUCUCAAAGUUCUUCCGGUCUGCUAUCAUGCCCCUUGAGUUGGUAUUCGCCCAACCAGGCUGAAUGUGUUGGAGUUGUGGAGGUGUAUGCUGUCAAGGUUUAUGUCUAAAUAGUUAAUAGCGUCCCAAGUGAAAAAUGCCGAGUAGACUCUUAUUAUGUCCGGACAUUAAGCCUUGUAGUUAACCUGUCGAAACAAGUCUUCCAACCAGAAUGACAGCUGAUAGUCUUGGAUAGCACGCAAUUGUCCAUCACCAAAUCGCCCCUCAAACAAGUCCUUCACGCUCAUCAUGCCGAUGAGCAGAAAGCCCUGAACCUUAUACAUCGUGCCAUCGUCUUUCAUACGUUUGAUGGUGUGGUACAGCUUGUCCAGGCAACAUCGGGCUGGACGUAGUAAAAGUCCCUGUGCUAGCAGAUGGUGUGACGAAAGUCCGCUGGCGCAUUCUUCCCAAAACCCUUUAAACAAGACUUUAUGUAAGCUUUUAUACAGCACCAGUUUUACACCAUUGGCGAACUGCCUUAGUGACAGCAAUAACAAGUGCUGCCACCCAGAAAAUCACCACAACCACGUUAGCUAUGGCCUCGUAAAACAUGGCUGACCAGUGCCACUUUGGGAGAUGGUCUCCCUCCACGAAAUGUGGAACCUUUUCCUUGUAGUGAAGCAGCCCCUUGCGCUGCCCAGGCUUGUAGCUGGGCGGACACAAAAUGUACACAAUUGGUACAAGCAUGUGUGUACAAGUUGAAAGAAGAAAGAAGGACAUUGCGAUCACGUAAAAAUCAUGGCUGCAAUUUCGGCCUCUUUGCUUCGCUACCCAGGAAAUUCUGUAGGCCACCACUGCCAAGACCAGGAGUAUGUAGAUGAUGUGAACCUUUACAUGUUUGAGCUUGACAAGGAAAAAUUUGAUCAAGGCUGGCUGCUUGGUGAGCUUGGCCUGUGCUGCAACUCGAUCGAUGCUGCUUGUUGGAGUGAAUGUGAAAGUGGAAGAGUACGAAAAGAUGGACUUAUAUAUGGUUUGGAGGAAGAAGGGUGUCAUCCACCAGAAAUGUGACUCGUCCGAUGGAUUGUGGAAGACUGAGCCAGACUGACAUCCAAGAAAGGCGCCAGAAAAUGAGGAAGAUGGCGAGCUGUAUGAUAACACGCCGCGCCUCAUGGGAGGUGCCGAUCAUGAGGUCAAAGUGAAGUGCAAGACAAACGAUGAAGAGGAGAAGCAUAACAAGGUUGACGAUUGCGAUGAAGUAGUAUCCCGUGCGCCAGAAGAAACUCACCUUGAGAACCAAGGAGAGUUUACUCUUUGGCCCAAGCAUCUCUCUCCAUGUCGCAGAGAAUUGCUGUAUAGCUCCCUGGCACCACCGCCGCCGCUGCUUGAUAUAUCCUUCAAACGUCCACGGUGUAAGACCAAUCUAACAAUCAAAGGUGGAGUCAACAAAAGUCACCGUGUUUUGAGCAACAGCAGACCUGAAGCUUGCGGUUGAGGUAGACGGACUUGAAGUCCUGGUUGAAGAGCUUGAAUGCGGUCAUGGUGUCUUCUGUGAUUGACAUUGGCUGGAAGCCUCCAAUCUCGUCCAGAUGUUUCCUUCGGAAGAUUGCUCCAGUUCUAACGCAUGGUGCGGCCCCAAAUGUGUCCCUGUGAAUCAUGACACGCUCGUAGCCAAAUACGCAAGCAUCGUUUAGAGGGUCUCCCACUGGCAGGUUAUAAAACGAUUGAGGGAUUUGCACGAAUGACACUUUGGGGUCCUUCACUAUGUGAGGGAGCAAAGUCUUCAAGAAUGAGGGGUGAAGUAUCAUGUCUGCGUCCAUUGUCACCACGAACUCCGCGUCGGAAUGCUCCAGGCCGUAGUUAAGAUUACCGCAUUUGAAGUUGUGUGGGACUCCUGGAAUCUGCAACAGUGAGAUCAUGAGCACGCACUGGGAAGGGAAUAACAAUAUUGUAAGCUACCUUCUUUCUACGAAGAUAUUUGACACAAGCACUCUCCAAUUCCUCACAGUAUCGUUUUAGCUCAUCGUCCCCUCCAUCAUCAAGGACCAAAACUCGAAACUGGUGCUUGGGAUAAUCCAUGGCCAGGGCAGCCUGAAUGGAAUCCUCGGGAACGUCAGUGGGCUCUUUAUAGCAGGGAAGAAAUAUGUCAACCGUCGGAAGCUCUUCCCAAUUCAACGAUAAACACUGACGGGGCCGCCAUAUUCGAGGCGGUAAUACCAGAUCCGCAGCCGAAAUAACGCUGCUCGCAAAGUAUAUCACCUCGCAAG